rnacentral:tRNA from 1 species
GGGGUUGUAGCUCAACAGUAGAGCGCUUGCCUAGCAUGUACAAGGCGCUGGGUUCGAUCCUCAGCCCCA